rnacentral:snRNA from 1 species
ACCCCUACAUUAUCCGGGAACGCGUUAUCCGAUGAACGCCGUAUUAAAUGGGUUUUUGGAAAUAGGAGAUGGAAUAGGAGCUUGCUCCGUCCACUCCACGCAUCGACCUGGUAUUGCAGUACUUCUAAGGACGGUGCACACUCU